rnacentral:rRNA from 1 species
AGUCUGACGGAGCACGCCGCGUGAGUGAUGAAGGUUUUCGGAUCGUAAAACUCUGUUGUUAGGGAAGAACAAGUAUCGGAGUAACUGCCGGUACCUUGACGGUACCUAACCAGAAAGCCACGGCUAACUACGUGCCAGCAGCCGCGGUAAUACGUAGGUGGCAAGCGUUGUCCGGAAUUAUUGGGCGUAAAGCGCGCGCAGGUGGUCUCUUAAGUCUGAUGUGAAAGCCCCCGGCUCAACCGGGGAGGGUCAUUGGAAACUGGGAGACUUGAGUGCAGGAGAGAAGAGUGGAAUUCCACGUGUAGCGGUGAAAUGCGUAGAGAUGUGGAGGAACACCAGUGGCGAAGGCGACUCUUUGGCCUGUAACUGACACUGAGGCGCGAAAGCGUGGGGAGCAAACAGGAUUAGAUACCCUGGUAGUCCACGCCGUAAACGAUGAGUGCUAAGUGUUAGAGGGUUUCCGCCCUUUAGUGCUGCAGCAAACGCAUAAGCACUCCGCCUGG